rnacentral:rRNA from 1 species
CGCGUAGGCGGACUUUCAAGUCGGGUGUGAAAACCGGCGGCUCAACUGCCGGCCUGCACUCGAUACUGUUGGUCUUGAGUACAUGAGAGGAAGGCGGAAUUCCAGGUGUAGCGGUGAAAUGCGUAGAUAUCUGGAAGAACACCAGUAGCGAAGGCGGCCUUCUGGCGUGAUACUGACGCUGAAGCGCGAAGGCUAGGGGAGCAAACA